CGCGUGUACUGGUCCGGCCGGGCCUUUCCUUCUGGAGAGCCCCAUGCCCUUCACUGGGCGUGCGGGGAAACCAGGACUUUUACUUUGAAAAAAUUAGAGUGUUCAAGCAGCCUUUGCUCGGAAUACGUUAGCAUGGAAUAAUAGAAUAGGACGUGCGGUCCUAUUUUGUUGGUUUCUAGGACGCCGUAAUGAUUAAUAGGGAUAGUCGGGGGCAUCAGUAUUCAAUUGUCAGAGGUGAAAUUCUUGGAUUUAUUGAAGACUAACUACUGCGAAAGCAUUUGCCAAGGAUGUUUUCAUUAAUCAGUGAACGAAAGUUAGGGGAUCGAAGACGAUCAGAUACCGUCGUAGUCUUAACCGUAAACUAUGCCGACUAGGGAUCGGGCGAUGUUUCUAUCUUGACUCGCUCGGCACCUUACGAGAAAUCAAAGUUUUUGGGUUCUGGGGGGAGUAUGGUCGCAAGGCUGAAACUUAAAGAAAUUGACGGAAGGGCACCACCGGGCGUGGAGUCUGCGGCUUAAUUUGACUCAACACGGGGAAACUCACCAGGUCCAGAUGAAAUAAGGAUUGACAGAUUGAGAGCUCUUUCUUGAUUUUUCAGGUGGUGGUGCAUGGCCGUUCUUAGUUGGUGGAGUGAUUUGUCUGCUUAAUUGCGAUAACGAACGAGACCUUAACCUGCUAAAUAGCCAGGCUAGCUUUGGCUGGUCGCCGGCUUCUUAGAGGGACUAUCGG
rnacentral:rRNA from 1 species